AAUCUUAGACAAUGGCCGCAAGCCUGAUCUAGCCAUGCCUCGUGAGUGAUGAAGCCUUACGGUCGUAAAGCUCUUUCGCCAWGAUAUGAUAAUGACAGUAUCUGGUAAAGAAACCCCGGCUAACUCCGUGCCAGCGAGCGCGCGGUAAUACGGAGGGGGUUAGCGUUGUUCGGAAUUACUGGSCGUAAAGCGCACGUAGGCGGAUUGAGAAAGUUGSGGGUGAAAUCCCRGGGCUCAACCCYGGAACUGCCUCCAAAACUCCCUAGUCUAGAGUUCGAGAGAGGUGAGUGGAAUUCCGAGUGUAGAGGUGAAAUUCGUAGAUAUUCGGAGGAACACCGAGUGGCGAAGGCGGCUCACUGGCUCGAGUACUGACGCUCGAGGUGCGAAAGUGUGGGGAGCAAAGCAGGAAUAGAUMCCUGGUAGUCCACACCGUAAACGAUGAAUGCCAGUCGUCAGGRUAGSAUGCAUWUUSGGUGACACAACGUAACGAUAAGAUCGCUGGGAGUACGGUCGGAAGAUA
rnacentral:rRNA from 1 species